rnacentral:rRNA from 1 species
CCUACGGGAGGCAGCAGUGAGGAAUAUUGGUCAAUGGACGAGAGUCUGAACCAGCCAAGUAGCGUGAAGGAUGACUGCCCUAUGGGUUGUAAACUUCUUUUAUAUGGGAAUAAAACGUUCCACGUGUGGGAUUUUGUAUGUACCAUAUGAAUAAGGAUCGGCUAACUCCGUGCCAGCAGCCGCGGUAAUACGGAGGAUCCGAGCGUUAUCCGGAUUUAUUGGGUUUAAAGGGAGCGUAGGUGGAUUGUUAAGUCAGUUGUGAAAGUUUGCGGCUCAACCGUAAAAUUGCAGUUGAAACUGGCAGUCUUGAGUACAGUAGAGGGGGGCGGAAUUCGUGGUGUAGCGGUGAAAUGCUUAGAUAUCACGAAGAACUCCGAUUGCGAAGGCAGUUCACUGGACUGCAACUGACACUGAGGCUCGAAAGUGUGGGUAUCAAACAGGAUUAGAUACCCGAGUAGUC